AGCAGAGCUGAAAAGACCUGAAAUACAAAUCUCGCCAACUAUGUUGCUUGCAUUCAACAGAGGCGGUGGACCUUUUAAAUCAACCUCAGCGUCCUAUAAUAGGAUAAGAGGUGCAAAUAAAUAUCAUUUGGAAGGAACAUGGUAGUAUUUGCCUUUACACAUGCACUUAUAAACAAUGGGACAAGACUCAGUCAUGGAGCACUUGAAGCUCACCAUCACCCUCUUACAAGGAAAACAUGCCCCACAGGCGUGUGUACAGUCAGGCAAGCUCGACCCUGUUGUGUACAU